GAUGAACGCUGACAGAAUGCUUAACACAUGCAAGUCAACUGUGGCGGACGGGUGAGUAACGCGUAAAGAACUUGCCUCACAGUUAGGGACAACAUUUGGAAACGAAUUCUAAUCCCUGAUACUGUGAGAGAGCUUUGCGUCCCAUUAGCUAGUUGGAGAGGUAACGGCUCACCAAGGCGAUGAUGGUUAGCCGGCCUGAGAGGGUGAUCGGCCACAAGGGGACAGGGACACGGCCCUUAGUCCUACGGGAGGCAGCAGUGGGGAAUAUUGGACAAUGGACCAAAGUCUGAUCCAGCAAUUCUGUGUGCACGAUGAAGUUUUCGGAAUGAAAAGUGCUUUCAGUUGGGAAGCGGUACCAGCAGAAGAAGUGACGGCUAAAUACGUGCCAGCAGCCGCGGUAAUUC
rnacentral:rRNA from 1 species